rnacentral:rRNA from 1 species
CUACCAUGCAGUCGACGCGAAGCCCCGCAAGGGGUGAGUAGAGUGGCGAACGGGUGAGUAACGCGUGGGUGAUCUACCUCGGAGUGGGGGAUAACGUCUCGAAAGGGACGCUAAUACCGCAUAACAUCCUGCCUUUGGACAGGCGGUGAUCAAAGCUGGGGACCGCAAGGCCUGGCGCUUGGAGAGGAGCCCGCGUCCGAUUAGCUAGUUGGUAGGGUAAUGGCCUACCAAGGCGACGAUCGGUAGCCGGCCUGAGAGGGCGGACGGCCACACUGGGACUGAGACACGGCCCAGACUCCUACGGGAGGCAGCAGUGGGGAAUUGUUCGCAAUGGGCGCAAGCCUGACGACGCAACGCCGCGUGGAGGACGAAGAUCUUCGGGUCGUAAACUCCUGUCGAGCGGGACGAAACCCUCGAGUGUGAAUAGCACUCGAGGCUGACGGUACCGCGAGAGGAAGCCCCGGCUAACUCCGUGCCAGCAGCCGCGGUAAUACGGGGGGGGCAAGCGUUGUUCGGAAUUACUGGGCGUAAAGGGCUCGUAUGUGGCCCCAUAAGUCAGACGUGAAAUCCCUCGGCUCAACCGAGGAACUGCGUCUGAGACUGCGGGGCUUGAAUCCGGGAGAGGGAUGCGGAAUUUCCAGGUG